UACAGAGGUCUCAAGCGUUGUUCGGAUUCAUUGGGCGUAAAGGGUGCGUAGGUGGCGCCGUAAGUCGGGUGUGAAAUUUCGGAGCUUAACUCCGAAACUGCAUUCGAUACUGCGGUGCGUUGAGGACUGGAGAGGGAGACUGGAAUUCAUGGUGUAGCAGUGAAAUGCGUAGAGAUCAUGAGGAAGACCAGUGGCGAAGGCGGGUCUCUGGACAGUUCUGACACUGAGGCACGAAGGCCAGGGGAGGCAAACGGG
rnacentral:rRNA from 1 species